rnacentral:rRNA from 1 species
AACGAACGCUGGCGGCAUGCCUAACACAUGCAAGUCGAACGAGACCUUCGGGUCUAGUUGCGCACGGGUGCGUAACGCGUGGGAACCUUCCCUUAGGUUCGGAAUAACUCCCCGAAAGGGGUGCUAAUACCGGAUAAUGUCUUCGGACCAAAGAUUUAUCGCCUUUGGAUGGGCCCGCGUUGGAUUAGCUAGUUGGUAGGGUAAAAGCCUACCAAGGCGACGAUCCAUAGCUGGUCUGAGAGGAUGAUCAGCCACACUGGGACUGAGACACGGCCCAGACUCCUACGGGAGGCAGCAGUGGGGAAUAUUGGACAAUGGGCGAAAGCCUGAUCCAGCAAUGCCGCGUGAGUGAUGAAGGCAUUAGGGUUGUAAAGCUCUUUUACCCGGGAUGAUAAUGACAGUACCGGGAGAAUAAGCUACGGCUAACUCCGUG